rnacentral:rRNA from 1 species
AACCUCCGCAAUGUGAGAAAUCGCGACGGGGGGAUCCCAAGUGCCAUUCUUAACGGGAUGGCUUUUCAUUAGUGUAAAGAGCUUUUGGAAUAAGAGCUGGGCAAGACCGGUGCCAGCCGCCGCGGUAACACCGGCAGCUCUAGUGGUAACAAUUUUUAUUGGGCCUAAAGCGUCCGUAGCCGGUUUAAUAAGUCUCUGGUGAAAUCCUGUAGCUUAACUGUGGGAAUUGCUGGAGAUACUAUUAGACUUGAGACCGGGAGAGGUUAGAGGUACUCCCAGGGUAGAGGUGAAAUUCUGUAAUCCUGGGAGGACCGCCUGUUGCGAAGGCGUCUAACUGGAACGGUUCUGACGGUGAGGGACGAAAGUUAGGGGCGCGAACCGGAUUAGAUACCCGGGUAGUCCUAACUGUAAACGAUGCGGACUUGGUGUUGGGGUGGCUUUGAGCUGCUCCAGUGCCGAAGGGAGCUGUUAAGUCCGCCGCCUGGGAAGUACGGUCGCAAGACUGAAACUUAAAGGAAUU